rnacentral:rRNA from 1 species
GCCGGCCUGAGAGGGUGUCCGGCCACACUGGGACUGAGAUACGGCCCAGACUCCUACGGGAGGCAGCAGUGGGGAAUAUUGCACAAUGGGCGCAAGCCUGAUGCAGCGACGCCGCGUGGGGGAUGACGGCCUUCGGGUUGUAAACCUCUUUCAGUAGGGACGAAGCGCAAGUGACGGUACCUACAGAAGAAGGACCGGCCAACUACGUGCCAGCAGCCGCGGUAAUACGUAGGGUCCGAGCGUUGUCCGGAAUUACUGGGCGUAAAGAGCUCGUAGGUGGUUUGUCGCGUUGUUCGUGAAA